UAACUUCCUUCCAGCAGAAUAACUUGGGAGUUAAUGGUGGUGUAAGGGGUUUAGUAGCAUUUCUAACUUCAUCCAGCUGGCGUAACACAAAGAGAGGGCGGCGUUGUAAAUCUGAUUUCAAAGCUAUUCUUUCUCCACUAAGAAUUUUAGGAGCUGUAGUUCUUUGGGAGGAAGCUAGGGAUUUAUAACAGAGAAAUCUCAGCUCCCUUCAAAAUGGAAAUAUUACAGAAAUACCAUGAUAGUUACCAUAAAUUGGAUACAAGCCCCUUAGGGUUUGCAGCGUAGGGAUGCCCUGGGUUUGGUGGUGGGGGGGAUAAGAAGCUACAUGACCCAAAUUCCCCAUAUGUGUUUGCAGAUGGCAACGUUGCCUUGAAACGCAUCACCAGCUUUUCUCUUUCUCGCUGCUCUCUUUGAGAUUUGAGCGCGCCACUUCUCCAAAGCCAGACCAUAGCUCAGCGAUAAAGCACAUACAUACUUUGAGUGCAGAUGGACCCAGGUUCAAUCCCAAGCAGCAUCUCCAUGUGAGGAGUGGGGCAGACAAUCCUUUGAAACCCUGGAGGCUGUGGACAGCCCUCAGGUAGAUGGACCAGGACUCAGUAGAAAGAAGGCAGUUUUCUAUGUGGGCCACCCUCUCCCCACCCAAAAUAAUCCAUGCAAAUCUGAAUUACUGGAUUCACACUAAGUAAGGGGUAGUGUUCUGUUAGAAGGAGGAGAAAUCAAAUUUCCAAGAAUAUUAGAUGUUCCCGAAUAAAAGCCCUGCUGAGUAACAUACACAUUUUUAAUGGCUUCUUAUCCAUCUCCUUCAUUCCGUAUACAAACAGCAAAAAAGAAGACAGGAUUAAAAGAUUAGAUUUGUCAAGUUGUGUUUUUUUUUAAUGUCUUUCAGCUUCUGCGUUAUUAAACCCAAGCCACUGACCACAUAGCUGGGCUUCUCUUCAUUUGACAAGAAAGGGGGAUUUCUUCAUGCCUGCAAUUGAUUUCCACACUUCAAAUCAAAGAUUAUUCAAUCUUCCUCUAGAAAUCUGAUGUAUGUUUUACAGGCUUUUCUUUUUCUUUAAAAAAGAAAAAGUCCUUUACCCUAAUUAUACCAUUGCAUGUCACAAUUAUCACUUGACUUCAGCAAAACCCUUCGGCAGGGGGAGUAUACUGAGGCCCGAAGGCCAAAUAUAAACAUUUUAAUAAGGAAAGAAAUAAGAAUGUGAGGGGCGGUAAUUGUAAAUUAGUGUUUUGGGGGGGGGCAGGCUUAGCACUUUUUAAAACAAAACAAAAAAACUAUGCUGAUGCACAUGUAAGAAAAGUGGGGGGACGGGACCUCCAUGUACCAGGAUUAUAAAGUUCAGUGCAAGCUUCUUAAUACCACAUGAUUUUCUGAUUUUCUCUUUCUUAGUCCCAGGUUAGUUAACAUCUUCACGUUUUUUUCUCUUUCUUUAACUCUCCCCAUGUCAGCUAGUGCAAAACAAAUUUCUCUUUCACUCCACCUCCCUUUGUCUCCUGUAUUUUUUAAGAUGGUGAGUCUGUGGUGGGAAUGGGCAAACACAACAUUUUCACUUUUUCUCAGUUUUUCAUUUUGCCAACCUUAAAUUAAGUUCCCUAUAUUUCCACAUCGGACUGUGAUUUUUUUUAAAAAAAACCUGAUGAAAGGUCAUCAUCAUUUUAGCAGAAAUGUCUCCUAAUAUACACAUAUGUACUAUAUGCAGUUUUGUCUAAUAUACACAUGACAUGUUUGAAAAGCAACUUUCCCAAACAUAAUACAUUAUUUUCAUAUUUAUAUGCACACUCCUCACCAAUUAACCUUUUUUUUUUGUACACAUCACUUGGCUGGGGAACUGCAUUGCAAGAUGUUUCGGUUCAUAUAUUGCUUUGGAAAAUGUGAAUUAAGUGAUUUUGCGUUUAAAUGUGAACUGAAUCAAAUUUCUCCUCCCAUCCCUAGCCUGUUGGCCAUGAUUCCCCCUCCCCUCUUACUUUCUGUUUCCUUCUGGUUCCUGGUCUACUAUUAGCCUCUUUUAUACACGAUCAUUGUUGACUAUUAAAAAAAAAAUUUUUUUUUAAAGUAUUGACAUCCAGACAUAUUCAGACACUUAUUUAUGGAUGUAAUGUCACUACUUUCUAAAUGCCAGGAUAGCGGACUCCCUUGUGGUCUUAAGGCAGUGUUGGCAUUAAUGACACCGUCUGCAGCCGCCCGUUUCUCCUUCAUUCCAUCAUCUCUUGUGUCUGUUUCAACAAAGUCAUCCUUUCCGCGCACCCCCAGUCUCAGUAGGAAACACUAGAAACUGAGACCUCAAACAACCCAUUUGAAUUUAUGCUCUAAAAGCUUCCCAGACUUUGACGUGCAGAUGCCAUCAAAGGCGAUUCUUAUCAGCAUCCUGAAUGCUCAGGUACGAUGUCUGUUGGCAGCUUAGCUGGGGGUAUUUUAGCAGUGAUGGCAAAAACGGCAUUUCAUUCUCCCACAUCUGAGGCUUGGGAAUGACUUUGCAAAGUUUCGUUAAUUAAGCCUGGCAGCCCCCUUGUGAGUCAGACAAGGAAUAUCUAAACGUGCGACAUUAUCCGCAACUCUAAUGCAGCCACCUGUGGGACAGAGCGUGACAGUCCUCCUACAAGGCAAGCCCACACAGCUUGCACCCUAAUUAAGCAAUUAGGAGCCGUGGAAGGCUUUAUUCAAAGAGCAUGUAAUUCCAGGCAAUGCGCAGGUUGAGAAAUGCAUCUGUAUCUGUAACCUGCAUUCGUUGACUUCGUCGGCGAGUUUUGAGUGGCGUAAGUUACAUUGCCACACUGUGUCGCAGCAGCAGCAGGCUUUGGUAAUAUGGCGUCCUGGACAAGGACAAAAGUUGGCACCCUCCGUAUAUUUCUUGUUUUCACAAUAGUUCCUUAUUAUUAAUUUGCACCCUCUUGGCUCGGUGCCCUGCACAGGGGAACCGCCCGCACCACCCUAAAUCCGGCAUUGGUCACAGCAAAGCUUUGUCUAGCUUAGUACUCUGUCUAUGACAGCGACCGGCCCUGCAGAGGAGACUGGGAAGUAGGCCUUUUUGAAAACUAAGUGUUGUGCGGUUGCAUAACAGCAACACUAUUAGAUGGAUUUCCUUUGGAUGAGGAGCUUAACAGUAUCUUUCUGUGUGCGGGCGAAAUUUAUGAACAUACAAAGCAGGGAUGGUCCAAAGAUAAAUCUACUGAGAGCUGAUUUCCAGCAGAUCUGCAAGGGUUUCUGAUUCUGAAUUGUUUCAACAAUAUCAACAACAAAAGGAUGCCUCUUCAGCCUUCCAAAUUAAGUUGUUUGAAUCCCUGAACAACUCAAGGUUCACACUUAUGUUUAUUUGUUACGUUUCUAUGCCAUCUCUCCCCCAAGGAGCUCAAUGUGGCAUACAUGGUUUCCCCUCUCCUCAUUUUCCCCUCACAAAAACCCUGUGAGGUAGGUUAGGCUGAGAGACAGUGACAGGCCCAAGGUCACCCAGUGAUCUUCAUGACGUAGUGGAGACUAGAACCCCCGUCUCCCAGGUCUUAGUCCAUUACUCUAACCACUACACUACAUUGGCUGUUACUGGAAUUCAUAUUGGUGUAUGACUCAUGAGGUGUUGUUGGGGCUCUCCUUUCUGAGCCACCAUUUUGCGCCUGGUUCCACCCAUCUCCCAUCUCCUAUUUUGUAUCUAGCUCUGUUUGGUGGAGCUCAGGGCUCUUGUAACCCUGAAGGGCCGUAACUCAGUGGUAGAGCAUCUGCUUUGCAAGCAGGAGGUCGCAGGUUCAAUCCCUGGCAUCUCUAGGUAGGUUAAAGGUAAAGGCAAAGGGACCCCUGACCAUUAGGUCCAGUUGCGGACGACUCUGGGGUUGCGGUGCUCCUCUCACUUUAUUGGCCGAGGGAGCCGGCGUACAGCUUCCGGGUCAUGUGGCCAGCAUGGGUUAGGAAUGGACUAAUGGCAGCUUUUUAUGUUCCUAAAUAAACUCUCUUAAGUAGAUUCUGACGUGAAUGAAAUUUAGAGCAACAUGUCAGAAUCUUGGUCAAAAAGCCUCAGCUUCAUAAUGCAACAGAUAUUGCAGUGUGAGAGGAAGAUUAGAAAAGUGCCAGAAUUCUAAUCAGGAAAUCUAAUGCAAUCUUCUCCACAUCUGAAUGCACCCUGAAGUUGGUGGGGCAGCACCCUAUUUACCCUAACGGGCCAGCCUCCGCGGGCCUACCCCUCAGUUUCACAAGGCCAACCUUAUGUCACGAACCUAAACAAAAUUGUUGGGAGGGAUGGCGCAUUAGAAAAUCAGUGCCUGCAUUUUCGCUGCACACAAGGACAAUGACAUAAUGAUUGCCUUAUUAUGUUACUAUUCUCGUAGCCAUUGUAGGCUUUCUGCCUUCAGAAUGUGCAGGAAUUGUUUUCGUCUGCUGCCAAUGGGGAAAAGGCUGCUAUAGUUAUAAAACUAUAGUCUCUGUUCUGGGGGUGGGGUGGGGGAUUGGAAUCACAUCCUAAUUUUUCAUGACUGAGAUGCUCCAUUUUACAAUGCAGAAUUGUUGGGGGGGGGUUUAAGGUGCUUAAAUUAGCAUGGAAGAGAUUCAGAUCAGCUUCUGGCGUGGAUACAGAUAGGAGGUGCUCCAUUCUAUUUUUAAUUAUCCUGGUAAUGGCUUGCUUUUCUAUAUGUUGGCCACAUAUAAGAUAAGCAUAAUGCCACACUGACAUGUGAAUAGCUUAUUCAUUACGAGAGCCUGCUAAGAAUCCACAUCCGGCAUUCCUCUAACGAAAUGCAGCUGGAGCUUUCGGAUACAGGACUAAGCAUCUCUUGAACAGCUUGUAUUCUGCAAGGUUCAAUCGGCUAUUAUCUGUUGCAUUGUGGAUUAUCUUCUCCUCUACUGUGAAUAGGAACCUCGCCCUGCAACAUUAACCAUGCUGCUGCAAAUGCUGGAAUUUACAUAAUGGAAUUGCAUUAGGGUGAGGACAGAUGUGAAAAAUUGAGAGCAGCUGGGCCAUUUUUAAAACAUCUGCAUACCUGAAUUCAUAAAAAAUGCAUCUCUCUCUGCCCCCUGCCCUGGCCCCCACACUUUUGGGGCAAACUCAGAAAACCCUGUGGUAUAUUAGGUUUAGCCUCAAGGGUCAAUCAUUACAGUUCUGCCACAUAAAAUAAGUAGCAUUAUCCUCCAUAAAUUUGUCAAAUCCCCUUUUAAAGCCAUCUAAGUUGGUGGUCAUCAUUGCCUCCUCUGGGAGCAACCAUAGUUUAACCAUUCAUUCAUUUAUUCAUUCAUUCAGCCUUUAUUGGCAUAAUAUAGUUUAAAUAUGUGCUGCAUGAAGAAGUACUUCAUUUUGUCUGUCCUGAAUCUUCCAACAUUCAGCAUACUUGGAUUUCCAGAAAUUCCAGCAUUAUGAGAAACGGUGGGUGAUCUUUUGCUGCACUUCCUCCUCGCUGCUCACCAUGUGUCAGGGUUCAGAACAUGACCCUCCAGCAAAUCUCCCCCUUGCCAAUGACCUGGAGGAGCCAUCAGAUCUGGACAUCACAUCCCUACAAGGAAAUUAUCUCAAAAUCUCCAUUUCCAGAACAUAAAAAUAUAAGGCGCACCCUGCUGGUUCAGGUCAGUGGCUCAUCUGGUCCAGUAUCCUCACAGUAGCCAACCAGAUGCCUAUGGGAAGCCCGCAAAUAGGACUUGAGUGCGAUAGCACUCUCCUCACUUAGAGCAGAGACAUUUUGACUAGUCUGUUGAUUGUCUGAUCCUCUUUUAAAGCCAUCCUGCUGUUCAAUCCAGUCCCACCCACCUCAAACCAGCUUCAGUCUGACUAGAGGAUUCAACCAGAUUCACUUUGUAGUUAAGGUAAAGGUAAAGGUAAAGGUAAAGGACCCCUGACAGUUAAGUCCAGUUGCAGAUGACUCUGGGGUUGUGGCGCUCAUCUUACUUUACAGGCCAAGGGAACUGGCGUUUGUCCGCAGACAGUUUUUCCGGGUCAUGUGGCCAGCAUGACUAAACCGCUUCUAGUGCAACGGAACACCGAAACCACAGCAACGCACAGAAACACCGUUUACCUUCCCACCGGAGCGGUACCUAUUUAUCUACUUGCACUUUUUUUGGGCGUGCUUUCGAACUGCUAGGUUGGAAGGAGCUGGGACUGAGCAACAAGAGCUCACCCCGUCACGGGGAUUUGAACCACCAACCUUCUGAUUGGCAAGCCCAAGAGGCUCAGUGGUUUAGACCACAGUACCACCCGCGUCCCUUGUACUUAAGCUAGGUGUGGACAUUUGAGACAACCAUUGCACUUGAGUAGAUGAACAUUCAUGCAGAGAUAACAACUUCGUGUACAUGCAUUCUGGUCAUGGGGUGUAUAUGUUGCAUGGGCAGGGAAACCAAAAAGGUAAUGUAUGUUGGGUGAAGAUAUCCCCACCUCCUCUCUGAUGUGUACAACACUAUGCAGCCAAAUUGAUCUGCAGAUCUGGCACAGUUACAGGUGCCACAUAAUACUCAUUCUGCAUUUGUAAUAAAUCAAUAUUUCGAUGUGGCAGCACCUACACUUUGAAACUUCCUGCCUAUUGACAUUAGGCAGGCACUUUCACUAUACUCUUUUCGGCACUGCUAAGAAACAUUUUUGUUUAGUCCUGAGAACAUAAGAACCUGCUGAAUCAGGCCAAGGCAAACCUACCCAGGUAUGUACCAUGUUCACAUGUGUUUUAAUCUGUUUUUAGUUCAUUACUGAUUUUAAUUAUUAUUUGAAUGUUUUAAACUAUUUUAAACUAUUAUAACUGAUAAUUUUAUUGUUUUAUUCUUUUUGUAAACUGCUUUCUGUGUGUGUGUGUGUGUGUGUGUGUGU
rnacentral:lncRNA from 1 species